rnacentral:rRNA from 1 species
CGGACGGGUGAGUAAUGCUUGGGAAUCUGGCUUAUGGAGGGGGAUAACUACGGGAAACUGUAGCUAAUACCGCGUAGUAUCGGAAGAUGAAAGUGCGGGACCGUAAGGCCGCAUGCCAUGGGAUGAGCCCAAGUGGGAUUAGGUAGUUGGUGGGGUAAAGGCCUACCAAGCCUGCGAUCUCUAGCUGGUCUGAGAGGAUGGCCAGCCACACUGGAACUGAGACACGGCCCAG